rnacentral:rRNA from 1 species
CCUACGGGAGGCAGCAGUAGGGAAUCUUCCACAAUGGGCGAAAGCCUGAUGGAGCAACGCCGCGUGGGUGAAGAAGGUCUUCGGAUCGUAAAACCCUGUUGUUAGAGAAGAAAGUGCGUGAGAGUAACUGUUCACGUUUCGACGGUAUCUAACCAGAAAGCCACGGCUAACUACGUGCCAGCAGCCGCGGUAAUACGUAGGUGGCAAGCGUUAUCCGGAUUUAUUGGGCGUAAAGGGAACGCAGGCGGUCUUUUAAGUCUGAUGUGAAAGCCUUCGGCUUAACCGGAGUAGUGCAUUGGAUACUGGGAGACGUGAGUGCAGAAGAGGAGAGUGGAACUCGAGGUGUAGCGGUGAAAUGCGUAGAUAUAUGGAAGAACACCAGUGGCGAAAGCGGCUCUCUGGUCUGUAACUGACGCUGAGGUUCGAAAGCGUGGGUAGCAAACAGGAUUAGAUACCCUUGUAGUC